CCUACGGGUGGCAGCAGUAGGGAAUAUUGCUCAAUGGGGGAAACCCUGAAGCAGCAACGCCGCGUGGAGGAUGAAGGUCUUAGGAUUGUAAAAUCCUUUUGUUAGGGAAGAUUAUGACGGUAUCUAACGAAUAAGCACCGGCUAAAUCCGUGCCAGCAGCCGCGGUAAUACGGAGGGUGCCAGCGUUACUCGGAAUCACUGGGCGGAAAGAGUGCGUAGGCGGGGUAAUAAGUCAGAUGUGAAAUCCUGUAGCUUAACUAGAGAACUGCAUUUGAAACUGUUACUCUGGAGUGUGGGAGAGGUAGGUGGAAUUCUUGGUGUAGGGGUGAAAUGCGUAGAGAUCAAGAGGAAUACUCAUUGCGAAGGCGACCUGCUGGAACAUUACUGACGCUGAUGCACGAAAGCGUGGGGAGCAAACAGGAUUAGAUACCCGAGUAGUC
rnacentral:rRNA from 1 species